ACCCGCUGAAUUUAAGCAUAUCAAUAAGCGGAGGAAAAGAAACCAACAGGGAUUGCCUUAGUAACGGCGAGUGAAGCGGCAAAAGCUCAAAUUUGAAAUCUGGCACCUUCGGUGUCCGAGUUGUAAUUUGAAGAAGGUAACUUUGGAGUUGGCUCUUGUCUAUGUUCCUUGGAACAGGACGUCACAGAGGGUGAGAAUCCCGUGCGAUGAGAUGCCCAAUUCUAUGUAAAGUGCUUUCGAAGAGUCGAGUUGUUUGGGAAUGCAGCUCUAAGUGGGUGGUAAAUUCCAUCUAAAGCUAAAUAUUGGCGAGAGACCGAUAGCGAACAAGUACAGUGAUGGAAAGAUGAAAAGAACUUUGAAAAGAGAGUGAAAAAGUACGUGAAAUUGUUGAAAGGGAAGGGCUUGAGAUCAGACUUGGUAUUUUGCGAUCCUUUCCUUCUUGGUUGGGUUCCUCGCAGCUUACUGGGCCAGCAUCGGUUUGGAUGGUAGGAUAAUGACUAAGGAAUGUGGCUCUACUUCGGUGGAGUGUUAUAGCCUUGGUUGAUACUGCCUGUCUAGACCGAGGACUGCGUCUUUUGACUAGGAUGUUGGCAUAAUGAUCUUAAGCCACCCGUCUUGCAACACGGACCAAGGAG
rnacentral:rRNA from 1 species